GGGCGGUUAGCUCAGAGGUAGAGCACCGGUCUUACACACCGGCUGUCGCAGGUUCGAAUCCUGCACCGCCCACCA
rnacentral:tRNA from 1 species